rnacentral:lncRNA from 15 species
AUGGCUCCUCCAGAUCUGUCUGCCCUCAGUGGUCUGUUGCCUCAGUUAGGAGCUUCCUUCCUGCUGUCACUCCCCUCACAACAACUCCUGGAAAUCCUCUCACAACCAGGAUUACUCAAAUAUUCCUCAGCACAGCUCACCAUGGAAAAACUGUGCAAACUGAAGCCGUUACACUCUGGUCUCUCCCCUGCUGUGCUCAGAGACCUCCAGUGGCCUGAGAUCAGUGAAGCUGCCCACUGCCAGUGCUGGAGAGCGAUGCUAACUGAGCUUAAGCCUGGCCAUAGAGCCAUGCUAUACAAUGCUAUGCAGGAGGUGACGGUGCUAUUAUCUGUCUUCAGUACACCUCUAAUAACGUUUUGUAUCUUUUCAUCCUUAUAA